CAGCCGCCGCGGUAAUACGUAGGUGGCAAGCGUUGUCCAGAAUUAUUGGGCGUAAAGGGCUCGCAGGCGGUUUCUUAAGUCUGAUGUGAAAGCCCCCGGCUCAACCGGGGAGGGUCAUUGGAAACUGGGAAACUUGAGUGCAGAAGAGGAGAGUGGAAUUCCACGUGUAGCGGUGAAAUGCGUAGAGAUGUGGAGGAACACCAGUGGCGAAGGCGACUCUCUGGUCUGUAACUGACGCUGAGGAGCGAAAGCGUGGGGAGCGAACAGGAUUAGAUACCCCUGUAGUCCCUGUCUCUUAUAC
rnacentral:rRNA from 1 species